AUACAGAAGUUUAAUCACGUCUGCAAUUUAUGUAGCUCGGACUUCGAACUGAAAGUUACAGCUCUGUUACAGGGUUUAAGCUGCAAAAUCAUGGCUACGGUCGCUAUUGAAUAUUGUAAAGGAUGAAGCUACGGGUUUCGUUACCAGGAACUAGCCGGUACUCUCCGGCAGGUUCCUGGUGUGCAGGUGAAGGGAGAUAAGGGUAGACCAAAUAGCUUUGAGGUGUCAGUGAAUGGUGAGCUGAUCUACUCCAAGCUUGAGACGGGAACGUUUCCUGAUACUGAACAAGUGACAAAAAGGGUGAGGGAGAUGGUCCAAGGAGAAAAAGCGGGGAAAUCCUCAAAGAAAGAGCAGAAGAACUACUGCUCUCACCAUUAGAGCUGUAUUCACACUGCAAGAGUAAUACAUGGUUUGUCUUCUGUGGUUCGAAACUCAUUCUCAUCACAUCUGCUUAACUCAAGACCAAAAUGAAUUCAAACUUUAAAAUAUGAGUAAAUUUUCAUUUUUAAGUUUUAAUUGUCGACCAUAACCAAAAUCUUUGAGUCUCAUAGUCAACCAAGAAGAUCAGACCAUAAACUGUCUUCACUGUGAAUACAAAGACGACAAGAUGAUGACAGCAACUCCAAGGAGCCAGGCACUGAUCUGUACUUCUGUUUAUGAAUGUAUACAUUGAAAAACAUGUGGUGUGUACACGAUGCAAGUGUAGAAGCUUUUCAGCAGACUGGACCCUGAGGAACUGCUCUGUGCAUUAUUAAAACGUCUCUUUAACUGCAUUUAAUUUAGAUUGGGAAAAAGGGAAAAUAUAACUCUUCAUCAGCCACAUAUAUAUUUAAUAUUCAGUUCCUCUCUGUUUGGAUAAGUCCAGAAGUUUUGGGUCUGUGCUGUGACAGGGCAGGAAUUUAAAAGAAUAGUUUGAAAUUUUUGGAAAUAUGCUUAUUUUCUUUCUUGCCAAGAGAUCAGAAGAUUGAUAUGAUGAAUAUAAGGCUACUUUUAACAGCCAAUUAUCUUAGCUUAGGAUAAAGACUGGAAGCAGUGGAAAACUUGCUUUCAGUGUUGGCCUGUUUCCUGACUGGGACCAGUAAAUUAAUGGACUGUUUAGUCCUGGUCCAGGUCAAUAAAUAGUCCAACACAUGACCCACCCAUAAAUUGGCAUCUUGUAAUUUUUGCACUGUGGUUUUUGAAUAGAUUAAACAAACAAAAUGUAACAUGUUUAUUAGUUUGGUUAGAGUCAGACUAGCUGUUUCCACUUGUUUCCAGUCUUUAUGCUAAGCUCAGCUAACCAGCUGCUAGUUGUAUCUUCAUAUUUAUCUGACAGCCUUAAGAGUUGUAUCAAUAUUCUCAUCAUCUUAGCAAGACAGCAAAGAAGGGUAUUUUUUCAAAACAUUUCUUUUAAUCUUUGUGAGGUUGCAGACAGAAUAUGCAUUCCUCUGUGAUUAGUCUUUAAAUGUUGGACAUUUUCAAAACACCUUAUAUCAUUACGACUGUUCAACUAUGGAUGUCUGUAUUUCUAGUAUGGCACUGUUCUGAUAUAUAAGAAGUAUUUUCUAUUCAUAUGCUCUAUUUUUCCAAAUAUAUAAAUGGACUAUUACCUAGAUGGUGUUUAAUUGUGUUCUCUUUGUUACUAAUUUAACAGUUAUGAUAAAUUUUAAUUCAAAUGUUGCUUAUUGAAAAACAGAUAUGUAAUUUGACAUGAAACAUCUAUCUGGAUUUUUAAAUGACUUGUUCUACUGAUGCUAACCAGUUUGCAACCAAUUCCAACAAAAAAAGCCAAAACAUUUUCCAGAAAUGCAAUAAAAUAUGAGGGAUUAACUGCU